rnacentral:rRNA from 1 species
UGCAAGUCGAGCGCGAAAGCGGACUUCGGUCUGCGAGUAGAGCGGCGAACGGGUGAGUAACGCGUGGGUGAUCUGCCUUCGAGUGGGGAAUAACACCGGGAAACUGGUGCUAAUACCGCAUGACAUCCUCGGUUCGUUCUGGGGAUCAAAGCUGGGGACCGUAAGGCCUGGCGCUUGAAGAGGAGCCCGCGUCCGAUUAGCUUGUUGGCGGGGUAAUGGCCCACCAAGGCUUCUAUCGGUAGCCGGCCUGAGAGGGCGGACGGCCACACUGGGACUGAGACACGGCCCAGACUCCUACGGGAGGCAGCAGUGGGGAAUUUUCCGCAAUGGGGGAAACCCUGACGGAGCAACGCCGCGUGGAGGAUGAAGGCCCUCGGGUCGUAAACUCCUGUCGAUCGGGAAGAAUGCGUCCGACCCAAUACGUCGGCACGUUGACUGUACCGGUGGAGGAAGCCACGGCUAACUCUGUGCCAGCAGCCGCGGUAAGACAGAGGUGGCAAGCGUUGUUCGGAAUUACUGGGCGUAAAGGGCGCGCAGGCGGUUCGCCAAGUCCCGUGUGAAAUCCCCCGGCUCAACUGGGGAACUGCGCGGGAAACUAGUGGACUUGAGUUCGGGAGAGGAAAGCGGAAUUCCGGGUGUAGCGGUGAAAUGCGCAGAUAUCCGGAGGAACACCAGUGGCGAAGGCGGCUUUCUGGACCGACACUGACGCUGAGGCGCGAAAGCUAGGGGAGCGAACGGGAUUAGAUACCCCGGUAGUCCUAGCCCUAAACGAUGAGCACU